rnacentral:rRNA from 1 species
UACGGUAGGGUGCAAGCGUUAAUCGGAAUUACUGGGCGUAAAGCGCACGUAGGCGGAUUGUUAAGUCAGAGGUGAAAUCCCGGAGCUCAACUUCGGAACUGCCUUUGAUACUGGCAAUCUAGAGUCCGGAAGAGGUUAGUGGAAUUCCCAGUGUAGAGGUGAAAAUUCGUAGAUAUUGGGAAGAACACCAGUGGCGAAGGCGGCUUGCUGGGACGGUGACUGACGCUAAGGCGCGAAAGCGUGGGGAGCGAACAGG